CCUACGGGAGGCAGCAGUGGGGAAUAUUGCACAAUGGGGGAAACCCUGAUGCAGCGAUGCCGCGUGGAGGAAGAAGGUUUUCGGAUUGUAAACUCCUUUUAUCAGGGACGAUAAGGACGGUACCUGAAGAAAAAGAUCCGGCUAACUACGUGCCAGCAGCCGCGGUAAUCCGGAGGGAGCGAGCGUUGUCCGGAAUGACUGGGUGUAAAGGGAGCGUAGGCGGACCGGCACGUCAGAUGUGAAAACUGAGGGCUCAACUUUCAGACUGCAUUUGAAACUGCUGUUCUUGAGGGAAGUAGAGGUCAGCGGAAUUCCUCGUGUAGCGGUGCACUGCUUAGAUCUUAGGAGGACCCUCGGUGGCGACGGCGGCUUACUGUGCUUUUCCUGCCGCUGAGGCUCGAAAGCGUGGGGAGCAAACCGCAUUCGAUACCCUUGUAGUC
rnacentral:rRNA from 1 species